rnacentral:rRNA from 1 species
AGUGAACGCUGGCGGCAGGCUUAACACAUGCAAGUCGAACGGUAGAAGCGUAAGUUCUUCUUCUUACGGGUGGCGAGUGGCGGAAGGGUGAGGUAUACAAUGGAACCUUCUCUUUCGUGGGGGCGAUCGAAGGGAAACCUACGACAUUAUACCAUACGAGCUAAGGGCUUAAGCAGCUGAACAUAGGAUCUUGCGCGAUUGAGUGAGCCGAUGACGGAUUAGCUAGUUGGCGGGGUAAAGGCCCACCAAGGCGACGAUCGGUAGCUGGUCUGAGAGGACGAUCAGCCACACUGGAACUGAGACACGGUCCAGACUCCUACGGGAGGCAGCAGUGGGGAAUAUUGGACAAUGGGCGCAAGCCUGAUCCAGCUAUACCGCGUGGGUGAAGAAGGCCUUCGGGUUGUAAAGCCCUUUUGUUGGGAAAGAAAAGCAGCAGGUUAAUACCCCGCUGUUCUGACGGUACCCAAAGAAUAAGCACCGGCUAACUUCGUG